rnacentral:rRNA from 1 species
UACAGAGACCCCGAGCAUUAUCCGGAUUUAUUGGGCGUAAAGCGUUCGUAGGUGGUUUUGUAAGUCAUUUGUUAAAUCUUCAGGCUCAACCUGGAGGCUGCAGGUGAUACUGCAAGACUCGAGUGUGGGAGAGGUAAGCGGAAUGCCCGGUGUAGCGGUAAAAUGCGUAGAUAUCGGGAGGAACACCAGUGGCGAAGGCGGCUUUCUGGCCUGUUCUUGACGCUGAGGCGCGAAAGCUAGGGGAGCAAACGGG